GAUGAAGAAUGCAGCGAAAUGCGAUACGUUAUGUGAAUUGCAGAAUUCAGUGAAUCAUCGAGUCUUUGAACGCACAUUGCGCCCCCUGGUAUUCCGGGGGGCAUGCCUGUCCGAGCGUCAUUGCUGCCCUCAAGCACGGCUUGUGUGUUGGGCCUCCGUCCUCCUCCCGGGGGACGGGCCCGAAAGGCAGCGGCGGCACCGCGUCCGGUCCUCGAGCGUAUGGGGCUUCGUCACCCGCUCUUGUAGGCCCGGCCGGCGCUUGCCGACACAUCAAUCUUUUUUCCAGGUUGACCUCGGAUCAGGUAGGGAUACCCGCUGAACUUAAGCAUAUCAAUAAGCGGAGGA
rnacentral:misc_RNA from 1 species